rnacentral:rRNA from 1 species
AUGAUUCGGGUAUUGGACCAAAAGCUGCACAUGAAUCAGCUUGCCGGCGAGCGGCGAGUUGGUGGAUCAUCCAUCCUUGGCUAUAUUCAACGGGAUCACAAAAAUUACUUGCGUACUAAGCGCCAAAGGGAACUAAAAUAUGGUGAAGAAGGAAGUAUCUUGAAAUAUUUCCAGGAUAAAAUCAGAGAAAGCCCAUCAUUUCAAUAUGACAUACAACAUGAUUGUGAAGAACAGAUCAAAAAUAUAUUCUGGGCUGAUGCAAGAAUGAUAAUUGACUAUGCUCAUUUCGGUGAAGUUGUUACUUUUGACAACACAUUUGGAAAAAAAACAAGGAGCAUCGGCCGUUUGGCGUAUUUGUUGGGUUCAAUCAUUUCAGAGAAACUGUUACUUUUUGGUGCGUGUCUUCUGUCUGAUUAA